UCACAGUAUUUAAGCUUCAGAUAAAUUUAAAUAGUAAAAAUAUAUAAAAUUUAUCAGAAAUAUAGACUAUUCAGAUUUGACUAUCCAAUCUUUCAAAAUUUUAAUUUUGGUAUUCAUUCUUUUAAUUUAUUUGAUUCAAAUAAUUUGAUUACUCUUCAUAUAUAAAAUUUAAUCUAAUUGAUUAUUUUUAAUAAAUUUAUAGUUGCGUGAAUUACAUAAAAAUAUAAAAUAUAUUAAUCAAACCCGUAAAAAUAAAUAAUCCGUUCAAAAUUUAAAGUUAAAGCAUCUCUAAUUUGUUCAAAUCGCGUAAAUCAAAAGAUUAGACAAAAAAUUAAAAUGUUUAAAGAUUAGAUAGUUGACUCAAAACGGCCAAUACGUGGGGUAAUUAAGUUUUACCCAUUCUUACCAAUUUCAAGCAAAAUAUAAACAAUAAAAAUUAUUACU
rnacentral:lncRNA from 1 species